rnacentral:rRNA from 1 species
UAGGGAAUAUUGCACAAUGGAGGAAACUCUGAUGCAGCGACGCCGCGUGAGUGACGAAGGCCUUCGGGUCGUAAAGCUCUGUUCUCUGGGGAAAAGAAAGUGAUUGUACCAGAGAAGAAAGGACCGGCUAACUUCGUGCCAGCAGCCGCGGUAAGACGAGGGGUCCAAGCGUUGUUCGGAAUCAUUGGGCGUAAAGCGGGUGUAGGCGGCUCUAUAAGUCAGAAGUGAAAGCCCCGGGCUUAACCCGGGAAGUGCUUUUGAUACUGCAGAGCUUGAAUGUGGGAGAGGGUAGUGGAAUUCCAGGUGUAGUGGUGAAAUACGUAGAUAUCUGGAGGAACACCGGUGGCGAAGGCGGCUACCUGGCCCAACAUUGACGCUGAGACCCGAAAGCAUGGGGAUCAAACAGG